UACGUAGGGUGCAAGCGUUAAUCGGAAUUACUGGGCGUAAAGCGUGCGCAGGCGGUUAUGUAAGACAGGUGUGAAAUCCCCGGGCUUAACCUGGGAACUGCAUUUGUGACUGCAUAGCUAGAGUACGGUAGAGGGGGAUGGAAUUCCGAGUGUAGCAGUGAAAUGUGUAGAUAUUCGGAAGAACACCAGUGGCGAAGGCAGCAACUUGGCCCCAGAUUGACGCUCAGGCACGAAAGCAUGGGGAUCAAACAGG
rnacentral:rRNA from 1 species